rnacentral:rRNA from 1 species
UACAGAGGUCUCAAGCGUUGUUCGGAUUCAUUGGGCGUAAAGGGUGCGUAGGUGGCAUGGUAAGUCGGAUGUGAAAUCCCGGGGCUCAACCCCGGAACUGCAUUCGAUACUGCUGCGCUAGAGUACUGGAGAGGAGAUUGGAAUUUACGGUGUAGCAGUGAAAUUCGUAGAUAUUGGGAAGAACACCGGUGGCGAAGGCGGCCAACUGGACCACAACUGACGCUGAGGCGCGAAAGCGUGGGGAGCAAACAGG